rnacentral:RNase_P_RNA from 2 species
GGAGGCCCCCGGGCGUUCGCUCCUCCGUCGUGACGGAGGGGAGGAAAGUCCGAGCUCCGACGGGCAGCAGGCUCGCUAACGGCGAGGCGCGAUGACGCGACGGAAAGUGCAACAGAGAGCAGACCGCUCGUCCCUCCGGGCGAGCAAGGGUGAAAGGGUGCGGUAAGAGCGCACCGCCCGGCCGGCAACGGUCCGGGGCACGGCAAACCCCCUGCGGAGCAAGACCAAAUAGGGGAGCGGAUCGAGGGUCGCCCGUCCCGAGGUCCCGGACCCGCGAGGGCCGGGCGCCGUUCCCGGGUAGGUCGCUGGAGGGUACCGGCAACGGUAUCCGGAGAGGAAUGAACGUCCCCUCGCGAGAGGGACAGAACUCGGCUUACGGGUGCCUCCGCCC